rnacentral:tRNA from 1 species
GCCGGAGUGGCGAAAUUGGUAUACGCAGUUGACUCAAAAUCAACCGUAGAAAUACAUGCCGGUUCAAAUCCGGCCUUCGGCACUAUUU